GUGCUUGCUUCGGCAGUACAUAUACUAAAAUUGGAAUGAUACAGAGAUUAGCAUUGCCUCUGAGCAAGGAUGACACACAAAUUUGUGAAGCACUCCAUAUUAAA